CUUACUCUUCUUCUUCUUCUUCUCUUUUAAGUUUAUUCUUGUAGUUCUAAAUUCAGUUCUUCUAAUUUCUAAACUUAUUGUACCUUUGUUGAAUCUUCAUCCACAUUUUGUUUUAAUGCUAAAACUUUGUUGAUUUCCAAAAAUGAACCAAAUUAGGGGAUGUACGUUCGACAGGUGAGAGUCUUCAACAAGUGAGAUAGAUGGAAGAAGGAGAAGUGAGCAAGCAUAGAUGUGACACUAGAUAUACAUGGUUCACCUGAAUGGGCUUCGUCCACGAAACUGGAGAUGUUCGCAUUAUGAUAAUUGUUGUUUAAAUAGUACUUUGCCAUGGUCUUAGAGAGCCUCAACGUAGGGAAAAAAACUUAGUUGCAACCGGGAUAGUGCUGCAAAAUAGUGUUAUCCCCAUUUCAUAGAAGUCUUUCUCCAAAAUAUAAGAGUGGUCUCCUUUUAUAGGUGAGGGAUGGUUCCUCUUCUUGUUAUCUUUCGUUCUAGGCCUCCUUGGCAUUUCUGGUGAGGACACAUGGCUGCGCUCCAUUGGCUCCACUGUCUGAGUUGGU
rnacentral:lncRNA from 1 species